CUCUAUCACUCUCUUGCUGAAAGCCUGAAACUGAGAAGGCAUAGAGAUCUCAUAGAGCUCGACGAUCAUGGAGAUCUCAUAGAGCUCACCUAUCAUCGAUUAGGUACGAGUUGAUCUCAGUUUGUGACUCUUCAUCUCUCUUGGCAUUGUGUUUCUCAGCUUCGAUUAGCUUGCUUGGACCUACUACAACUUCUAUCAGUCAGCACCAACAAAAUUGGCUGGGGAGAAUUAUUUCUUUCAUUCUGGGCAGGCUUUUCCACUGGAUUUUGUACUCUUUUCUGGUUGAGGACAACUUAAGGUGUGUCAAAGGGCAGAACAAAGAACACAUUAUGAGAAUAUGAUAAUGCAAAUGUUGAGUUAUAUCACCUCGCAAUCAGCCCAAUCUACUAGUGAUCACUGAGACAAGGAAGUUUUGCUCCUGCAUACAAAAGUUGACCUUGUAGUAACUCUUGGUGGGGAUGGAACGGUCCUUUGGAAACUUGAGGACACCCAUAAUGGCUGAAAUGUUCAAUUGUACUAGCUGAUAACUUCUUGCUUUGGAGAUGAUGAUGAAGAAUAAAAUGUAUCAAAACUUUUAACUCUUGGACAGAUUUGGUCUUUGUACAAAGUGUGGUUGUUGAUAUCUUUUCUCUUAAACAAUAAUUGACAUAUCGGCAAUUUGUAUGCA